rnacentral:lncRNA from 1 species
CCUACUCCUCCUCCGGAGCUCGUGCGCCAGCAACUGCCGCGGCUUCGAUUGGGGCGCGAGCGAGCGCAAUCACUUGCGUGCCUUGCUCAGGUUGGCUGUAACUGGCGAGAGUACUGAACAUUUGGGCAGUGGAAAAAAAAAUCAGAUGCUCUGCAUCUUUUCUCCCUGGAAGCUACUUUUCCUGUGAGAGGGUGUAAAGAUACAAAAAUGAGAAGAUCCUGAUAAUGUCAGAG